rnacentral:rRNA from 1 species
CCUACGGGAGGCUGCAGUGAGGAAUAUUGGGCAAUGGACGAGAGUCUGAACCAGCGAAGUAGCGUGAAGGAUGACUGCCCUAUGGGUUGUAAACUUCUUUUAUAUGGGAAUAAAAUGUUCCACGUGUGGGAUUUUGUAAGUACCAUAUGAAUAAGGAUCGGCUAACUCCGUGACAGCAGCCGCGGUAAUACGGAGGAUCCGAGCGUUAUCCGGAUUUAUUGGGUUUAAAGGGAGCGUAGGUGGAUUGUUAAGUCAGUUGUGAAAGUUUGCGGCUCAACCGUAAAAUUGCAGUUGAAACUGGCAGACUUGAGUGCAGUAGAGGUGGGCGGAAUUCGUGGUGUAGCGGUGAAAUGCUUAGAUAUCACGAAGAACUCCGAUUGCGAAGGCAGCUCACUGGACUGCAACUGACACUGAGGCUCGAAAGUGUGGGUAUCAAACAGGAUUAGAUACCCCGGGUAGUC